rnacentral:misc_RNA from 1 species
AACGCACAUUGCGCCCUCUGGUAUUCCGGGGGGCACACCUGUUCGAGCGUCAUUUCAACACUCAAGCCCAGCUUGGUAUUGGGCGCCGCCUACACGGGCGCGUCUUAAACUCCUCGGCGUCGCCGUCCGUCCCCAAGCGCAGCGAGAUUUAUUUCAGCGUGAGGAUCGGGCCGUGUCCGCCGUAGAACACCAAUUUUUCAGGUUGACCUCGGAUCAGGUGGGGAUACCCGCUGAACUUAA